AGGAUGUAGAGUGCCUGUGGUGGGUUGGAUGAAAGACCCAAGAGCUGUCUAAGAAGUGUGCUCCGGACAUGCGCUGCAUGGCGUUGGCAAACCCAGCAGUUUUCGGUAGUAAAACCUAAGAAAUAGCAGAGAAGAAAACAGUGGGACAGUUCAGGCUCAGAAGCCAUGUGUGGCUGGAAGAAGGAAGGAAAUAGAAGGACAGGUGAGCCUUGCUGUCCAGGGAGGGCAAGAGUGGCCGGCUGUAGCUGAGGUAGUGUUUGGGGCUUACUCUGCCUGAGGGUGCAACACACGUACACACACUAAUGCAAACACUCCCCACACCAUUAUGUGCAUGGACACAAACAAGUAAUAAUUAGGUUUAAGAGCACAAAAACAAGCAAAGCAUGAAAGACAGACACCACCAGACACCCAUUUCUUUAAAAAAUAAAACAAAACAAACUGUGCACACAUCUUCAGUGAUUGAGCCUGCUCAGGCUCUGUCCCCUUCUUGGUUCAGUAACAUCGUUUUCCUUUAUCCUGAGAACGCAUUCCAAACAGAGUUUGUAUAAAGAACUGUCUUUUCUUGGCAAUAACUUGGAAAAUAAACAAAUGAGACAUACAGUUGUGUGGUACUUUUAUUUUUUAAUGGAACAUUAAUUUGCUUUCAGUUUGAAUUAUUAUAAAAACAUUGCAGGACCUUCUCCCCAGACUUUUUUUUAAGGAAUCUGUCUUGAUUUAGCAUCCUUAACCAAACAUGCUUUAGAGGCAGGGCAAGGACUAACUAUAAAGAAAACAACCCUUUGACAACAGCCUUUACCCUGGCAGUCCACCCAAAGCCGCCAAGGCAAGGUGUGUUUGAAGUGCUUCUCCUUGGGAAGUGUGGUGUUUACCUGAAGGUAGCCUGGGCCACUCUGUCUAAGGGAAGCAGAAGGUGAGGGCUGAGGGGCAGGCACAGGAAGAGGAAAUGGUCCCUCUGUGCCUUUAGUUUCCCAAUGGUGCUAGGAGUGUGUACUGCUCACUCACCUUGGACUAUGCAACUCCAGCUGAGGAACACAUGAAUGUCUGGUGCCAGUGGCCCCGUGAGAGUGUCAGAACCGAUUCUGGAGCUGGAAUCACAGGCAACUAAUUAUGACUGAUUAGCAGUUCUAAGAAACCGUGAAAGAAAAGUGAGCUGUUCCAUAAAGGCAUUUGCAUGAAGGAAGCGAGCUGGAAUUUAAUGGUGACAGUAAGUUAUUACGAAGCGGCUGAUUCCGUGAAGAGCAAUUUGGUAUUUGUCACGGCCCCGUUGUCAAUUGCAUUAGUAAGGGAUAAGAAUGACUCAAAGGUCUGUGGUGGGCAAGGAAUGGCAGGGCGGAAACUCCAUAAUAAGAGUGUUUAGUGGUGAGGACAGAAGAAGCGCAGAAGAAAAAAUAUAUAAUUGCAUUUGUUUUUAAAUCUCCUUACUGCCAGGCAUGGUGGCUUAUGCCUGUGAUACCAGCCCACUGGGAGACGGAAGCAGGAGGAUUACUGUGAGUUCAAAGCCACCCCGAGCUACAUAGUGAGUUCCAGGCUUAUUACAGAAUGGCUCAUCCAUGAACUCAGUUACGGUGGAGUCUACACGUUUAUGACUGGAACGAGUUGAAUGGUGAAUUAGCCUGUGGAAAAGUGCUGUGAUUUCAGCCACACCUACCCUGCCCAGCUCAGAAACAGUCACUCUAGGCCUCAGAAUCAUCUAUUUUCAGGUUUGAGAAGAGACCUCAGUGGCACCAGGAACAUUCAUCCAGCCAUGCAAACUACUCAGCUCUUUUUCUGUUAAAUCAGCUUUGAGGUGAGAAUAAAAAAAAGCAGAGUAAGGCGAGAAAAAGGGGGAGAUGUUUUUUUCUCUCUCUCUUAUUUUUUUAAACCUCAAAAGUAAGCCUGAGCCUUCUUUUUGGUGGCUGGCUGUGUUUCUAAAAGCAAUCAACCGAUGUUGAAGGGACUGGAAUGCAAAAUCAUUUCUAAUCCUCUUCUAGCCCUAUACUUUUCUUGGUGUCAUCACUAUGUAACAGGCAUGCCAGCCUGCUGUUAACAGAACUUGUUGCCUGCCAGUUUUUCUCUAUUAGGAACAUUUAUUAUCAUCAUGGGAUCUUCUUUGGUUGGCUUAAUUGAGGUAUAAUUUACAUGUAAUAAAAUUCACCAGUUUUCAAUGUUUAAUUCUCUGACAAAUAGAUGUGGCAUCCACCCACCACCACAAUCAACAAAUCAAGCAAAUAGUUCCAUGUUGUGGCAUCUCCUCUGUGAUGGUUUGCAUAUGCUUGGCCCAGGGAGUGCACUACUUGGAGGUGUGGCCUUGUUGGAAUAGAUGUGGCCUUGUUAGAGGAAGUGUGUCAUUGUGGUCAUUGGCUUUAAGACCCUCACUCUAGCUGCCUGGAAGCCAGUCUUCUCCUAGCUGCCUUCAGAACAAGAGGUGGAACUCUCAGCUCCUCCAGCCCAUGUGUGCCUGGAAGCUGCCAUGCUCCCACCUUGAUGAUAAUGGACUGAACCUCCGAACCUGUAAGCCAGCCCCAAUUAAAUGUUGUCCUUCUAAGAGUUAUCUUGGUCAUGGUGUCUGUGUAGAGCAGUAAAACCCUAACUCUACCUCUUUGAAGUCAAUCACUUUUACCCACCUGCAACCUGUGACAGUUGCUCAAUUGUUUCCUGCAAAAGAUAACUGUUUUGCUUUAUUUUAUUUUAUUUUAUUUUAUUUUAUUUUAUGUUUUAAAGACAGGGUCUUAAUAUGUAGCCCUGGCUAUCCUGAAAUUUACUAUGUAGACCAGACUGGCCUGCAACUCACAGAGAUCCUGUUAUCUCUGGUUCUGAAAUGAUGGGCUUAAAGGUGUGCACCACUACACCCAACUCAAAAGAUAACUCUUAAUAUGAAACAAAUUCUUAGAAGGACUUUCUGCUUGGAAAUUCUUGACUAAGAUACUUCAUUGAAUACAAAGAUACAUGGAAAUCAGUACAUGUCCGUAAGUAGCCAAAAAUCUCGUUGACUUUUAUGUAAUUUUUGAGAUUACGCUGCUUAUAUAUAAUGCAAGGCUGAAUUUUAGAAUGAAUUAUGCCCACUAAAGAAGAAUAAUGGACAGAGACCAUAUCUGCUCCUGAACUCGAUAAGACCAAGCAAAGUCUUGUACUGUCAGGAACACUACUUAUGAUUUCUGUAAAAAGGCACAGACUUAUGACCAAGGAUGUUUCAGGUAUUUUUUUUUUGUAAUAAACUUUUAAAAAUCAAACAAAAUAUAUUAAGGCAGAACAAGUACAAAACCUAUCGGUGCACCCUGCGAUGGCUUUAGGUUAUUAGAUGCCAACGUGGACCAGUUAGUUUAAUGGCCAACCCACCAAAAAGACAACACUCUAAAGUCUUCUGGUUUCCUCCUUGUAGGAAAGUAGGAGAGAACAUAAUGAGGCCCUGUGAAGGCUCACAGAGCACUGUGGGGAGAAGUUGUGAGAAAAUGGAUGGCACAUUAAAAUUCAUGAGAUGCCAGUUAAGAUCUCUGAAUAACAAAGUGAUUAUUAUUAUUCAAGGUCAGGCUUUUCUUUCAUCUUUCUAUAAAGACACAAAAUCAUUACCAUGAUCUGUCACGUGUGUCUCCUUUGUUAUUAGAUGCUGGACGGGCUUAUUAAACGGUCUGUAUUCCCUGGAGGGGAAUGGCCCCAGUGGAAUGAUCACAGUGGAAUGAUCACAGUUCCGUGGCUUUGUACGGUUCUAAUCGUGAGUGCAUUUAAACCAGAGGAAGGAAAAGCGAAGCUGAAGGGAACACAGAACGGCAGGGUAGGCAUUUUCUUGUGAUGACAAAGAAAUGAAUCCUUUCUUAAUUUCACUGACUCUUGCAUAUGCUUUACACCAGCCAUUUCCAGAAUGCACAGCAGAUACCGUGUGUGAACUCUCCUUGGUCAAUACAGUGGGGACCACAGUUAAUUUCAAAAGGGAAGCAAUAUAUGCAAAUUGAGAAAGAGUAUUAACAUCAGGAGGAGAAAAGCAGGAACAAUAACCUGGUAAAAAUGUGUAUGGCAGAGUCUAACUUAGUAAAGUGCUUGCAAGACCAGAGCGAGUGUCUCUGAACCCAUGUGAAAAUAUACAGCUGCAUGGGUCGGUGCCAUGGUUGGUAGAGGCAGACAUGCCCUAUGGCUCAAAUUUGGUGAGUUCUUGGGUAGUGAGUGCCUAAGGAAAGACACAGAGGCUGUCCCUAGGUUCUACAUGUAUGCACACAAAUGUGCACAGGGACACACCCAGUAAAAGGACUCUAGCAGGCCUGAGCAUGGCAAACAUGGCUCUGGCAGCCCUUUCCCUUGUUUUCUCUGCCUCACUAAAAUCCAUUAGAUUACAUUCCUAAAGCAAGCAACCAAGGUUUAUUCCCUUAUUUGGCUACUUCCUCCUCUGAGGGAGAAAGGUCCAGCUCCUACAAGGAGUAGGACCUUUCAAAUACUUAUCAAAGUAUUGAAGUCCAACAAUCAAAAGCCCCCUUUGGCUCACCUAAUUAACAUGACCAAUUAAACACCUCCUUCCAACAACGGAGUGGGCGGGAGUAUCCCUAAAGUUGUUGCUAGUCUGUGGAAUAUGUUCCCCUAACUGGGUUGCCUUGUCUGGCCUCAGUGGGAGAGGAUGUGCCUAGCUCUGCAGUGACUUCAUGUGCUAGGGUGGAGGGGAUGUCCAGGGUUGGGGUGGGGGCUCUGCCCUCUCAGAGGCGAAGGGGAGGGAGGAGGGACAGUGUGAGGGGAGACUGGGAGAGGUAGGGCAGCGAUAAGGAUGUAAAGUGAAUUUUUAAAAAGUGACAAAAAAAAAUGAAAAGUAAAAAGAAAGAAAAAAAGAAAAAGAAAAAAAUAACACCUCAUCCUAACAUUGGGGUUCCCCUUUUGCCUUUAUAAAUUUCCAUUUUCCUAUGGGCCACAUCUAUCUUCUCUCCAUCUAGAAGCAGUUCUGCAUUAUCCUGUCCCCCCAACUCCCUGGUACAAAUACUCCUUCCCCCUCUCCCUGUCCCCUUCUCCUUCUUCCUCAUCCUCUAUUCCCUGCCUUUGUCUUUUAUUCCCUCCUCUUUCCCCCUCUGGAGCAGCUAAGUCUCCUCUGUGCUGAGAGUCAUAUGAUGCCUUAACUUGGAUCCAGGCUCACUCACGUUUGUGUAUAGUGGCUCAGAAACUUACCCACAUUGUAAUUCUAAUAUGCAAAGAAAUUACUGCUUUUUUAAAUUUUCUUAGAUGGACCUCCUUUUACUUCCAUGCUCCUGCCUUGCUCCAUAAUAAGAAGGGAAAACAAUUAUGUCCAGCAACCCUUUUUAGUUCAAAUAAGUAGUUCGUUCUUUCUGAGGGCUACAUUUCCUUUUAAGGGUGGAGCGUUUACAUUUCCUUCCUUAGCCCUCCUCUAGUUCAAAAUCAUGUCCAGUUGUUUAGAAGAAUUGUGACCUAAUGAUGCUGAGGAGAGAGGAGUCAAAAACAUGUAGAAUCUCAGAGUCAGAGUACACAGAGUAGCAUGCGUGUGGCCUGGUGGUCCUUAGUGGGUCCUCUGAAGUGACAUUAUUAAAACAAGAUUCUGCCAUCCUCAGACACCCACACUCAUGUCAUGUUCAUAUACCCACACACAGAGAUACACACAUGUGCAUAAGUAAAGAUAAAAUUAAAGAAUCUAUCAAAUGAUGAAACUAUUUUGUACUUUGGAAUUUUUUUAUUUGUGUAUUUGAAUAUAUAUGUGCGUAUACACAUGCUACCAAAGGUAUGGAUGUCAUGGGACAACCUGAGACCUGAGACACUGUCUUCUUUUACUAUGUGGGUUUCAGGAAUAGAACUCAGGUCACUGGGCUUGGUGGCAGAUGCCUUUACCUGCUGAGCUAUCUAGGCAGCUUCUGUUUUAUAUCUUAUUGAUGACCCUUGGUCAUAUAACUAAAUAUACAUGACACAAUUCACAAAAUUACCCACUAGAAUUAUAUUUGCAAAUUAUAUCUCUUCUCUCUCUUGUUCUCUCUCUCUCUCUCUCCCUCCCUCCCUCCCUCCUUCUUUCUCUUUCUUUCUUUCUCUCUCUUUCUUUCUUUCUUUCUUUCUUUCUUCCUUUCUUUCACCUUUGUGUAACCUUGGCUGUCCUGGAACUCACUCUGUAGACCAGGCUGGCCUUGAAUUCAGAGCCACCUGACUUUGUCUCCCAAGUGCUGGGAUUAAAGGCUUGAGCCACCACUCCCUGACUGCAAUAUCUUUAAUUAAUGAAGAGGUAAAUAAUAUAUCUUACUAACCCUGACCAUUCACUAAAAGACUUUUAACAAUGCUCAGCAUAGCCGGGCGUGGUGGCACACGCCUUUAAUCCCAGCACUCGGGAGGCAGGGGCAGGCGGAUUUCUGAGUUUGAGGCCAGCCUGGUCUACAAAGUGAGUUCCAGGACAGCCAGGGCUACACAGAGAAACCCUGUCUCAAAACAAACAAACAAACAAAAAAAACAAACAAACAAAAAACAAAACAAACAAACAAAAAAACCAAUGCUCAGCACAGAUUUUAAUGGUAGCACUUACGCUUGUCAGCUCUCUUUUUUCUCCUAUAAUGAAAUGGUAUUACAAUGGAAAAGCCAAAAAGGACAAUACUAAUAAAAAUAUUACAAUGGAAAGCAGUGAGUUGCACUACAAAAUAUGCCUAUAUUAAAUACGUAUAAAAUUUAAACAAUAUUGGGCUUGGUAGUCCAUGCCCUUAAUUCUAGCACUCAGGAGGCAGAGGCAGGCAGAUCUCUGUGAGUUCAAAGCCAGUCUGGUCUACAUAAUGAGUUUCAGGAAAGGCUGGAGUACCUAGUUAGACCUUAUCUCAAAACAAACUUUUUAAAAAUGAUUACUUAUGUUUCGAUUCUUUUCACUUUUUGAUUUGUAAUAAUUGAAAGGUGCUUAGUUCUAGAGAAAUAGUACUGCUUAAUUUUUCUUUUAAAUAAUGUUGACACUGAAGUUUUGAAGAAUAAAAAAU